CUUUGACUUUGUUCACCCUACAUAUUUCAGAUCUCAGAACAGUCAUGGCAGCAGUAAUGUGUGUCAGAAACGGCAGAGGAGGCAGAACCAGAACCACAAAACGCCUCCUCCUGAUUUGCACUCUGUUCAGUCUGGUCUGCUUCACAAGGUCCCAUUUCGACAAGGAACAGCUGAAACAACUAAAGGAAAGGCAGCAGCAUUUAAAGAGACAACUCCAGGAAGCGAAGGAAGAGCAUGAGUCCACAGUUAAACCCUAUGUACAGUUGAUGAAUUACUACAGCACAGGAAUGGAUUUGAUAAUAGAUGUGAUGAAGAAAUAUAUGGGGGACCGUCCUGAAGACUUUCCACCAUUUGAGCAAUUUAUGAACAAUGUCAUGGAUUUUCUUGAGAGAAGCAAGGCGUAUGCUGAGAAGAAAAGCACUGAGUUAGAUGUCAAAAUAAAGAACCUCGAAGAGAGCAUGAGACAAUCAGAGGCAUUUAUUAAAUUGUUGGAAGAGUUGAAUGCUGAAUUAUAACUUCUCUGAUCUAUCAUUGGGGCAUAAAUGAUCAUCUGUUAUCACAAUUCUCUGAAGCUGUGGCUCUUUUUUAACUUUGAACUUUAAAAUCACAAAACUUUAUUGAACAAUUUUGGAUACAACGAAAGGGUUAACACAAGAAAUUACCAACAUGUUUGAUUUGAAAUGUUUGUUGACAAGAAUAUUAAUGUUAACAGCAGUGUCUGUAUUAACAUUCUAAAGUAUGAUUUGUUAACAAAACAAAUAA